rnacentral:rRNA from 1 species
GACGAACGCUGGCGGCGUGCUUAACACAUGCAAGUCGAACGGAAAGGCCCUGCUUUUGUGGGGUGCUCGAGUGGCGAACGGGUGAGUAACACGUGAGUAACCUGCCCUUGACUUUGGGAUAACUUCAGGAAACUGGGGCUAAUCCCGGAUAGGAGCUCCUGCUGCAUGGUGGGGGCUGGAAAGUUUCGGCGGUUGGGGAUGGACUCGCGGCUUAUCAGCUUGUUGGUGGGGUAGUGGCUUACCAAGGCUUUGACCGGUAGCCGGCCUGAGAGGGUGACCGGCCACAUUGGGACUGAGAUGCGGCCCAGACUUCUACGGGAGGCAGCAGUGGGGAAUAGUGCACAAUGGGCGGAAGCCUGAUGCAGCAACGCCGCGUGCGGGAUGACGGCCUUCGGGUUGUAAACCGCUUUCGCCUGUGACGAAGCGUGAGUGACGGUAAUGGGUAAAGAAGCACCGGCUAACUACGUG